ensembl:lncRNA
GUUUGCUGAAGCCACAUUAAUAUCUCUGUUGGAUAAAUUUUGGAUAAACAGACAAAAUAUUGCUAUUUUUUUCUCUCCUUCACACAGAUAAAUUCAUGCACACUCACUCACACACACACACAGUUCCCCUAAUUCAGUGUUUUUCUGUGUCUCUGCAGGAGGAGAGCAGUGCUGUGUGCUGUAGAGGGGAGAUAAUGGCCUCUGGCUCCUCAAUCUCUCGGCUGUAAUGUGUUUCUGACGCCAGCGAGUGCCUGCAGCCCCCUGGGAGGUACAGGGACGACAUCAUGAUGGAGUGUCAGCAGAUGAAAUGGGAGAAGCCACCCAGAAAGCGAUGACCCCUGACCUUGUCGUAAUGCCAGCCUCCAGGCGUGCUGACUUCACAGAAGCAGAUGCACACAGCUCUUUCUGUUCUGCUCUUCAGCUGCCCAGGCUCUGGAGCCGUGGCGAGAACAGCUCAAGGACAGGAGAGAGGAGACCGAGCCCUCCGGGCCUGUUCUGGACUCUGGACUGUCAGCUCCAAUGGACAGCUGUUGCUCAGGCAGCAGAGGGAGGAGGGGCCUGAUGUGUUUCUGUGUGGCUGCAGGAGGGAGGAGUCACGCACCUGUGAAUCUACACCUGAGAACGAACCAAGCCGGAGAAGAGGCAGAAAAGAAGAGAUAGACAGAAACUCAUUGAAACCGGGCCUAUAGGGUGAUGACCUCACCUGCUGGACUCUACUGGACAGAGAACUGAACCAAAGGAUAGUGACCAGAUAACAACUAUCUCAACAGACGUACAUUCACCUGCACAGGUGAGAGGAGCUUUUUACCAGAAUUCACUGGACAGGAAAACUCCAGUUAGUUUCAUAUUAAUGAGUUGACAGAUAAAAUUACUGUGAAAAAAUAGAGAUCACAUGUUAAUUAAUAUUGAGUUCUAGAGAAUGAAAUGAAUUGAUCAAAUGGAGAAAAAGUGUACUGAUAGUUAUGAAUUUUAAUGACCUUUGGACAGAGACACAUUUGAUUACACAUUCAUAGCAAACAGUGAACCUAUAUCACUGACUAAUCUUCCAGGAGGAGCCUGAGAUAUGUGUGUGUGUGUGUGUAUAAUUGCAAUCAAGUGAACACUUUGAAAUGCAAAACAUUUCUUUCAGUUGUGUCAACACAAGUUCAGCAGGCACUAUCAAUGUCUUUUGAAUUUACUUAUCCUGACAAAAUCAUUGCAUCACUUUGCAUCAUUGAACUCAUUGAAUUAAAACAAAGAGAUCCCAACCUAAUAAAUAAGAAAUAACUGCUUUAAAACUGAUUCUCUCUGUCUAAAAUUAGUGAUAUAUUCAUAGUAUAAUAUUAGUGGUGUAAUUCAGGUGGACAAAUACGAGAAGAAACAAACAUCGUUAUAAUAUUAAAUGCAAAUAUUAUGGAGCCUAGUGCCUCUAUACUGUCUGCGUUAUUUGUUUACCAUGUGCUUGAGUAUUUGUAUUCACACACAAAAGUUCAAUUCUGCACAUUAAUAAAAAACUUUCAGCUUUGUUUCUACUGGACAAAUAAUCACACGUUUCUCUUCUACCGUAAGCUUCGGAAGAGAUUUUAGCAAUGUCUCAAACUCUGCUCAGAUUUGCUAAGUCUAUCUACAAUCAAAAAUCACACAAUUCAGUAUGAACUCAAACAUUUCUCAUCCAAUUUUCUCAAAAGCAAAUUGUUUGUGCAAUAUUCAAUUUAUACAGUAGCUGUAUACUCUUACUAUCCACUAUUCAGUGGGCAACUGAUGUUGAAAAGACGUCAGUUUGACAUAAAAAAAGGUCAAAUAUGCAAAUCAACCUGAUGUCAAAAACUUGACAUGACAUUGAUUUGAUGUAAACUUAACGUCAAACAUAUCGGCCUACAUAGACAUUAAACCAAUUUCAGUGUGGGAUUAACUUACUACUUUCACUCAAACCAAAUUUAAAAUGAUGUUACAGCAUCUUGAUCAAGUCUUGACUGAUAUUUGACGUCAAAUUGAUAUUGAGGUGCCGGCUGGGAUAGAUCAGAAACUGUCAUUUGAGUAUAUUUUUUAUUUUCUCGAUUAAUUUUUGGAGAACCUUCUGUGACCAUUUUGAUAAUUAAGAUCAACAAAUGUUCUCCCAAACUUUAAAAGAGCAACUUCUAAGCAGCAAAAUUUUCUUCUUGGGAAACUUGGGACCAGUUUCCUCCUUUUUGUGUAUUGGUGGGGUAUGCCUUUAUUUUUAUGUUAUUCCAGUCUUACACUCUUUAGAAACAGGUGCUUAUUUCUAAAGAGUGUGAGUGUUAAACAACAGAUCAACCUGGGGUUUGUGAACUAGGCACCAAUGCAUGUUUUGGGCCUGCAAGAAGGGUUAAACAAAAUAAAAAAAAUUCCUGCAGUUCUUCUGAUCACCACAAUUCCUGUCAUUUGCUCUACUUUUACUCAUUAUGUACCACAACUCUCUCAGAGUGUGUCUGUUCCCGGGGCGAAGCUCUCCGAGGACCUAAAGUUGACACCUGAUGUUUUUUCCAACCAACCGACAGGAAUAAUUAAUUAAUCAAGAUGUCUACAGAGAUUUCGAUUUCUCGUGGGAGCUUCUGUUAAAACUAAAUAUACUUUGUGUUGUUAUUAUUGUGAUGCCUGUAUUGAAACGAUGUAACAUAAUUCAUGUGACAAGACAAAUCGUAAGUUUGAUUUUCCAAACAAAUUGUUUUCUCUACAUUAUCAUGAUCUGUCAAUCUUAUCGAAUCCUCUAAUAAUCUGCACACAGAAAGUUCCUGAUGGCCACUGACAUGUUCACGGAAAGCACCAGCUUUUCCUUCUGAACAAUGAUUUCCUUAACUCUUAUCAUUAUUUUUAUCUUAAUUUGAAAACCACAUGCAUAACUGCAUGAAGUGCGUAAGACCAUGUGCUUUGCCUAAAAUUUCCCCUGGCAAAAGAAAAUCUUCCUUAUCCAGUGCAAAGAGAAAUCUUCCUUAUCCAAAUCCUGACCAUAAUAUUCCCCACAGUAAAAUUAGCCUAAUAUUAGUGCACUGCGGUGCGUUAAUAUUACAGAAUGUUUCAAAAUCUAUGUUUGUAUUAUAAAUCACAAUUUAAACUACAGUUGCAAGCUAUAAAUUUGCACACACACACACAAACUCACGCACACACAACUAUGUAGUUUAGGAAAUGUUGAUUUGAAAUGAUCACUUUUUAAACAGUGAAACCAGAUACUUUUACAGCAUGCAUACUUUUAAAAAAUAGAAGUUCAUUGUAAAAAAUAUUUUUUUCAAAGUUUUCAGUCAUUCUACUUCAAAACUAAUUAUUUGUUAAAUUUCAAUUUCUGACUGAAAAUAGUUUCAAAGCAAAUCCUAAAUUUUUAUUUUUUUUGUCCAGUGUAAUGAAAUAUUAUUGUUAAAACCAUCUGAAUAAAAAGCCCUCCUUUUAUAAAAGGAGCUGACCAGCACCACCUGAUCUUUGUUUGCUCUCGUAAACAUAAAAGCAGGAGCAAGAGUCAUAAAGCCCUGAGAGAGCGAACAGAAAUUAGCAUACUGUAUGAAAAUGACCACUCUGUUGCUAAGCAGCAGAGCCAAGCCUUUCCCGUGAAUGGAUAUUGCCACACGUUACAACAGUUUUGAGUGAAUCUGAGUGUGGGAGUUGAUUUUCACAUUUCACAGAAGGCUGAUUCAGUUCGAGAUAUGAUAAUGGACAGUGAAGCAAUAAAAUUUUUCCAGGAAAUCAAGUAGUAGCCCCAAGUAUUAUUAUUUUUUUUUUAUUGUGUGUGUGUAAGUGAGCGGCAAACCUCAAAAUAUGAGACAAAGUUUCAUUUGGACAGUGUUCCGUCAUGUGUACAAUAUGCUUGCUUUUAUUGUAAUGGUUUACUUCAAAGCAGCCAUUCCAGCUUGUGUAUGAACCUUAAACGCACUCUGGACUGUGAACUCUGAACACGUGGAUGGGCCGUGUAAAAUCACGUGAAUGAAUGAAUCAUGUAAAAUCCAUUUGUAGUAUGAGCAAAGCAACAACACGCUGGGCAUUAUGGCUAAAAUGACACCAGCAGCAUCAUGCAGACCUGAGAAGUGAAGUCCAAGAGGUCAGAUGUUGUAAUGAAUUCAGUUUGUGGCCUGCAUGGAGACUGUGGUCAAAAAAAAGAUUUACAAAUUUCUGCAGAAUUAGGCUCAUACACGUUUGUUUAUGAAAUAUUUUGGCUAAUACGAAUGUUCUUUCAGCUCAAUUUGAUGUUUUGACACAUUAUUAGGUCCAUGUAAAAAUUAUAAAUAGUGACAUACAGUUUUAUAUAUAUUGAAGACCAACAUAAUGUGCAUUAUCAUUCAAAAGUUUGGAGUCAGUAGGACUUUUCUCUUUUUAAAAUAUUUUUUUAUUCAUCAAGGACACCUUAAACUGAUCAAAAGUGACAGUAAAGACUUUUUUUAAUAUUUCACAAUAUUUAUGUUUUAAUGUAUUGUUGUACUGUAUAGCAUAAAUACAUUUACCACCCCAAACUUUUGAACCAUGUUGUAAAUCAUCAAUAUUAUUAACUCAUAAACCAAUACAUGAAAAUAAAAUAAGCUAUACUAAGCACUCUAUCAUUUAACAUUAGCAUGGUCUACAUUUAGCGUUUCCAUCCUCCUAGCAUAUAGCUGCAGUGCAGCGUGUGUGAAAUUUGAGGCUUGUAACCGAAGCUCCACAGCUUAAAACUUUGCAUCCCUCUACCAUAUGGUGUUUACCGAAUUACACUAAAAGAUUCAUUAGCGCCUGCCCCUUAUAAUAUAAGACACAGAUCUUACCUUAGCAGUAGCUCACACCCACAGGGUUCAGCUUACACAUUACGACUAUUCUUAUUACCCGUGUUCAAAUGUAACAAAAAAACAGUAUGUUUAAAGUUCAUUUUCUUAUCUAGGCCUAAACUCUCUCAUUCUGUCCCCCUUACAGAGCUAU